rnacentral:rRNA from 1 species
UACGAAGGGUGCAAGCGUUAUCGGAAUUACUGGGCGUAAAGGGUGCGUAGGCGGUUGUUUAAGUCUGUCGUGAAAUCCCCGGGCUCAACCUGGGAAUGGCGAUGGAAACUGGGCAGCUAGAGUGUGUCAGAGGAUGGUGGAAUUCCCGGUGUAGCGGUGAAAUGCGUAGAGAUCGGGAGGAACAUCAGUGGCGAAGGCGGCCAUCUGGGACAACACUGACGCUGAAGCACGAAAGCGUGGGGAGCAAACAGG